GAUGAACGCUGGCGGCGUGCCUAAUACAUGCAAGUCGAGCGAACAGAUGAGGAGCUUGCUCCUCUGACGUUAGCGGCGGACGGGUGAGUAACACGUGGAUAACCUACCUAUAAGACUGGGAUAACUUCGGGAAACCGGAGCUAAUACCGGAUAAUAUAUUGAACCGCAUGGUUCAAUAGUGAAGGACGGUUUUGCUGUCACUUAUAGAUGGAUCCGCGCCGCAUUAGCUAGUUGGUAAGGUAACGGCUUACCAAGGCAACGAUGCGUAGCCGACCUGAGAGGGUGAUCGGCCACACUGGAACUGAGACACGGUCCAGACUCCUACGGGAGGCAGCAGUAGGGAAUCUUCCGCAAUGGGCGAAAGCCUGACGGAGCAACGCCGCGUGAGUGAUGAAGGUCUUCGGAUCGUAAAACUCUGUUAUUAGGGAAGAACAAAUGUGUAAGUAACUAUGCACGUCUUGACGGUACCUAAUCAGAAAGCCACGGCUAACUACGUGC
rnacentral:rRNA from 1 species